rnacentral:rRNA from 1 species
CCUACGGGUGGCAGCAGAAGGGAAUUUUGCGCAAUGGGCGAAAGCCUGACGCAGCAACGCCGCGUGAUCGAGACGCCCUUCGGGGUGUAAAGAUCCGUCAGUGGGGACGAAACUUGACGGUACCCACAGAGGAAGCACCGGCUAACUCCGUGCCAGCAGCCGCGGUAAUACGGGGGGUGCAAGCGUUGUCCGGAAUCAUUGGGCGUAAAGGGUGCGUAGGCGGCACUUUAAGUCAGGUGUGAAAGUCAGGGGCUCAACUUUUGUACGGCAUUGGAUACUGGCGUGCUAGAAUGCGGGAGAGGAAAAUGGAAUUCCUGGUGUAGCGGUGAAAUGCGUAGAGAUCAGGAAGAACACCAGUGGCGAAGGCGAUUUUCUGGGCCGUAAUUGACGCUGAGGAACGAAAGCGAGGGUAGCAAACGGGAUUAGAUACCCUGGUAGUC